CUCUCCCCUCCUCUCUCCCCCUCUUACCUCCCCACCUUCCUUCCGCUCCCCUCCUCUCUCCCCCUCUUACAUCCCCACCUACACCCUGGCCACUGCCUCCCGUCCCUCAUCGUCUCUGGGUCAGAGGUGGACCAGCCCCUGCUACCCCCUGCUCCGUGCCGUCCACACAUUCUUCCCUGGUAUCAUGAACCUCCUGUUGACCUACCAAGAGACCGCUUCCUGCCUCGGCUCCUCCCUCUCCCGCGCCCUCACCUUCCCCGAGUACGCCCUCACCUUCCCCAAGUUCGCCCUAGCCUUCUCCUGCUUCACAGAGGUUGUCUUCAGUCCACCCUGCCGGGCAGAGGGAGCUCAAUGGUUACCUGUUCGUCGUCUCUGACCUGGCAUUCACCUGGGGUGGAGACCUGAUCUACACCUGGGGUGGAGACCUGAUCUACACCUGGGGUAGAGACCUGAUCUACACCUGGGGCAGAGACCUGAUCUACACCUGGGGUAGAGACCUGAUCUACACCUGGGGUAGAGACCUGAUCUACACCUGGGGCAGAGACCUGAUCUACACCUGGGGUCGAGACCUGAUCUACACCUGUGGGGUAGAGACCUGAUCUACACCUGUGGGGUAGAGACCUGAUCUACACCUGUGGGGUAGAGACCUGAUCUACACCUGUGGGGUAGAGACCUGAUCUACACCUGUGGGGUAGAGACCUGAUCUACACCUGUGGGGUAGAGACCUGAUCUACACCUGUGGGGUAGAGACCUGAUCUACACCUGUGGGGUAGAGACCUGAUCUACACCUGUGGGGUAGAGAUCUGAUCUACACCUGUGGGGUAGAGAUCUGAUCUACACCUGUGGGGUAGAGACCUGAUCUACACCUGUGGGGUAGAGACCUGAUCUACACCUGUGGGGUAGAGACCUGAUCUACACCUGUGGGGUAGAGACCUGAUCUACACCUGGGGUAGAGACCUGAUUUACACCUGGGGGGUGGAGACCUGAUUUACACCUGGGGGGUGGAGACCUGAUUUACACCUGGGGGGUGGAGACCUGAUUUACACCUGGGGGGUGGAGACCUGAUCUACACCUGUGGGGUAGAGACCUGAUCUACACCUGUGGGGUAGAGACCUGAUCUACACCUGUGGGGUAGAGACCUGAUCUACACCUGUGGGGUAGAGACCUGAUCUACACCUGGGGUAGAGACCUGAUCUACACCUGGGGUAGAGACCUGAUCUACACCUGUGGGGUAGAGACCUGAUCUACACCUGGGGCAGAGACCUGAUCUACACCUGGGGCAGAGACCUGAUCUACACCUAGGGCAGAGACCUGAUCUACACCUAGGGCAGAGACCUGAUCUACACCUGGGGUAGAGACCUGAUCUACACCUGUGGGGUAGAGACCUGAUCUACACCUGUGGGGUAGAGACCUGAUCUACACCUGUGGGGUAGAGACCUGAUCUACACCUGUGGGGUAGAGACCUGAACUAGAUGAACCCUGCAGGUAGAACAGCAGAACACACAGAGGUAGUAGCAGGGUUCCACCUGCAGGUAUAACAGUAGAACACACAGAGGUAGUAGCAGGGUUCCACCACUAGAUGAACCCUGCAGGUAGAACAGUAGAACACACAGAGGUAGUAGCAGGGUUCCACCUGCAGGUAGAACAGUAGAACACACAGAGGUAGUAGCAGGGUUCCACCACUAGAUGAACCCUGCAGGUAGAACAGUAGAACACACAGAGGUAGUAGCAGGGUUCCACCUGCAGGUAGAACAGUAGAACACACAGAGGUAGUAGCAGGGUUCCACCACUAGAUGAACCCUGCAGGUAGAACAGUAGAACACACAGAGGUAGUAGCAGGGUUCCACCACUAGAUGAACCCUGCAGGUAGAACAGUAGAACACACAGAGGUAGUAGCAGGGUUCCACCACUAGAUGAACCCUGCAGGUAGAACAGUAGAACACACAGAGGUAGUAGCAGGGUUCCACCACUAGAUGAACCCUGCAGGUAGAACAGUAGAACACACAGAGGUAGUAGCAGGGUUCCACCUGCAGGUAGAACAGUAGAACACACAGAGGUAGUAGCAGGGUUCCACCACUAGAUGAACCCUGCAGGUAGAACAGUAGAACACACAGAGGUAGUAGCAGGGUUCCACCUGCAGGUAGAACAGUAGAACACACAGAGGUAGUAGCAGGGUUCCACCACUAGAUGAACCCUGCAGGUAGAACAGUAGAACACACAGAGGUAGUAGCAGGGUUCCACCUGCAGGUAGAACAGUAGAACACACAGAGGUAGUAGCAGGGUUCCACCACUAGAUGAACCCUGCAGGUAGAACAGUAGAACACACAGAGGUAGUAGCAGGGUUCCACCACUAGAUGAACCCUGCAGGUAGAACAGUAGAACACACAGAGGUAGUAGCAGGGUUCCACCUGCAGGUAGAACAGUAGAACACACAGAGGUAGUAGCAGGGUUCCACCACUAGAUGAACCCUGCAGGUAGAACAGUAGAACACACAGAGGUAGUAGCAGGGUUCCACCACUAGAUGAACCCUGCAGGUAGAACAGUAGAACACACAGAGGUAGUAGCAGGGUUCCACCUGCAGGUAGAACAGUAGAACACACAGAGGUAGUAGCAGGGUUCCACCUGCAGGUAGAACAGUAGAACACACAGAGGUAGUAGCAGGGUUCCACCACUAGAUGAACCCUGCAGGUAGAACAGUAGAACACACAGAGGUAGUAGCAGGGUUCCACCACUAGAUGAACCCUGCAGGUAGAACAGUAGAACACACAGAGGUAGUAGCAGGGUUCCACCUGCAGGUAGAACAGUAGAACACACAGAGGUAGUAGCAGGGUUCCACCUGCAGGUAGAACAGUAGAAUACACAGAGGUAGUAGCAGGGUUCCUCCUGCAGGUAGAACAGUAGAAUAGACAGAGGUAGUAGCAGGGUUCCACCUGCAGGUAGAACAGCAGAACACACAGAGGUAGUAGCAGGGUUCCACCACUAGAUGAACCCUGCAGGUAGAACAGUAGAACACACAGAGGUAGUAGCAGGGUUCCACCACUAGAUGUACCCUGCAGGUAGAACAGUAGAACACACAGAGGUAGUAGCAGGGUUCCACCUGCAGGUAGAACAGUAGAAUACACAGAGGUAGUAGCGGGGUUCCACCUGCAGGUAGAACAGUAGAAUACACAGAGGUAGUAGCGGGGUUCCACCUGCAGGUAGAACAGCAGAACACACAGAGGUAGUAGCAGGGUUCCACCUGCAGGUAGAACAGUAGAAUACACAGAGGUAGUAGCAGGGUUCCACCUGCAGGUAGAACAGCAGAAUACACAGAGGUAGUAGCAGGGUUCCACCUGCAGGUAGAACAGUAGAAUACACAGAACAGCAGAGUGCCCAUUAGAGAUGGAGGGGUUCUACAGAGCAGGGUCAGAAGGCUGUAGAUCUGCUUUAUGUUCUAGGAUAAAGGUGAAAUACAUCCAGCACUAUAAAAGGAGGAUGUGGAACUGCAGUUAUGUCACUGGAUGUGAUUUGUUAUGAGCUUACGAAACAAACAGUGUUGGGGACAGGAGAUGGGCCGAGCUAGCUGGGGUGUAUUCAUUAGGAACCAAACAGAACUAGGCAGGACUUAGCUGAAUUUGUCCAAAAGAAACACUUGAUUUCGCUGCAGAACGAUUUCCGUUGGAAAACUUUUUGCUACAGUGUGCGACUAAUUAAUACAUCCCAAGCUGUUUUCAUGAGGCCUGUUCAAUCAGGCUUUACCACCAUGACAGACAAGGAUAUACAAGUUAGAUGUUACGUGACAUGUUAGUUAAGCACACCUGUUCUCCCACCAGGAGUGAUGAGUCAACCUCAUUCUGAGACCUCUUUAGAAACAGUGUACGCCUACUGAACACUCCAUUUUAACACAAGGCAGUGGAUAAGAGACAUACUAACAAGGAGAUACUUUUGGUUAUGUAAUGUAUGUGGACACCUGCUCAUUGAACAUCUCAUUCCAAA